GCAAUUUGUUGAAAUUUUAAGAUUUUAGUUAUAAUAUGAUCACAAAUGCAUUUCAAAUUAUUAACGAAGAGUGAUCGACCGAUACAUCGGCCGGCCGAUUUUAUCAGCCGAUUUUUGCAGGGUUUUUUUAAAGUGUAUCAGCAUCGGCUGAUGUGGGCUGCUGCGUUCGCCGAUCCGGCAUUAUUUACAGACAGGCGUCCACAGGCAGCUCCAUGUUGCUGGAGACGCUGCAGUGCAUGUGCAGACCAUGCAUAGCCCCUCACCCACAGGGAGAAAGCUGGAAGCCUGCUCUCCAACACAACAAAAUGGCAGAGCAGAAAACCAAUCCAGUGUGACAGCAUUUCACAGAGCCUACUCCUGGAAAGGAUAUUGUUUACUUGUUCUACCUCACCUGUUUUUAAUAUUUGUCAAAUAUUGUUUACUUGUUCUACCUCACCUUUUUUAUAAUUUCAAUAAAUGUUCCUUUUUU